rnacentral:rRNA from 1 species
AUUGAACGCUGGCGGCAGGCCUAACACAUGCAAGUCGAACGGUAACAGGAAGCAGCUUGCUGCUUUGCUGACGAGUGGCGGACGGGUGAGUAAUGUCUGGGAAACUGCCUGAUGGAGGGGGAUAACUACUGGAAACGGUAGCUAAUACCGCAUAACGUCGCAAGACCAAAGAGGGGGACCUUAGGGCCUCUUGCCAUCGGAUGUGCCCAGAUGGGAUUAGCUAGUAGGUGGGGUAACGGCUCACUUAGGCGACGAUCCCUAGCUGGUCUGAGAGGAUGACCAGCCACACUGGAACUGAGACACGGUCCAGACUCCCACGGGAGGCAGCAGUGGGGAAUAUUGCACAAUGGGCGCAAGCCUGAUGCAGCCAUGCCGCGUGUAUGAAGAAGGCCUUCGGGUUGUAAAGUACUUUCAGCGGGGAGGAAGGGAGUAAAGUUAAUACCUUUGCUCAUUGACGUUACCCGCAGAAGAAGCACCGGCUAACUCCGUG